rnacentral:rRNA from 1 species
AGCAGUCGCCGCGGUAAUACGGAGGGUGCAAGCGUUAAUCGGAAUUAUUGGGCGUAAAGGGCUCGCAGGCGGUUUCUUAAGUCUGAUGUGAAAGCCCCCGGCUCAACCGGGGAGGGUCAUUGGAAACUGGGAAACUUGAGUGCAGAAGAGGAGAGUGGAAUUCCACGUGUAGCGGUGAAAUGCGUAGAGAUGUGGAGGAACACCAGUGGCGAAGGCGACUCUCUGGUCUGUAACUGACGCUGAGGAGCGAAAGCGUGGGGAGCGAACAGGAUUAGAUACCCCUGUAGUCCCUGUCUCUUAUAC